UUGAUAAAGAUCCACUUCUUUUUAAUCUCUUGAGCUCAAACACAACACAGGCCAUAUCAGUAUCUCCACAUCUCAUAACAGGGAACCAGGACAGGUGAUGGGGGUCAGGGGACUCUGUGCAACUUUCCCAGGUACAUGCAGCUUCCCUUUAGGGUCUGAACCUUCAAGCACUAGUCCCUGUACUCUCAUCUUAAGAAAAGUCUUUGUCUACCCUAUCAAACUGUUGGGUAGGAAAUGUUCACCACACUGCAAGAUCUGCCUAGCAUACAACUCUGAUUUAGAGGAUGGCUCUGCACUAUUGAAUGGGAAAACUGGGAUGAAAGUGAGGAACUGCACACUUCCCUGUGCUCUUCUGCUGGUGGGAUGUCAACAGCUGUCUAUUGUCAUACUGUUCCAGGAUCUUGUCUAAAGAGUUUUAGACGAAAAGGAAGUCAGAGGUCAAGAACAUCGACUGUCCAUUCUGCACUGAAGGUCAGAAAAAUCUUUGUCUUGCCAAAGAACAGGAUACCCCCAACAAAGGAAUCAGUUGAAGCUGCUCCUGAGGACCUGGUGGAAGCGAUUCCGAGAGACAGAGCAGAGGAGGAAGUCACAUCUCUUGGCAAGGUGGACUCAGGAUCCAGUGGACACUUGCCCCUGGAGGAUGCAUGGGAGGAGCUUCCUGGUGACACGGAGGAUAAAGAAACUCCAGAGUACACUGAGGUGAUCUCAAUACAAACAGCAAGUGAUUGGGUCUUACAGAGCGUUUCUGACUAUACCAGUGACGAUGAAGCCUCUUCAGAAGGCAACCUGGCAGAAUCUGAAAGUUAUCUUGGCAGCGGCGAUCUAGGGCUGUCCACAUGUUCCCUUGACGUUAACUACCCUGAAAGUCUACAGGACAUGGAGGACCUCGAUGAAGAUCAGGAAAUGGAAGCCAACAAACUGGAGCCCAGAGGUGGAGAGGCUGCCGUCGAGCCUGACCUGGAGAGUGAUGAAUGGAUGUUCAGGAUCCACGCAGACAUCUUUAGCUGCUCAGAAGUCUGCAGUGUGGAGUCCUGGCAAUCAGAGGAGCUGGAGUUUCCCACACCAUCGGAAACUUGAACUACACAGGAGACCCAACAUCAGCCACAUCCCUCCUCACCAGUCCUCUGCGAACUUUAUAUUAAAUUCUUUCACCUAGUACUAGUUGAUCUUUACAUGCUUUUCUGUAAAAUAAAUACAUCAUAAGAAAACACCUUUAGCAAAGGCAGAACUUAAAAUGAUCAGAGAGCAGUCACCCUAGGGAGUACCACCAUCAUCACUCCCUCGAGAGGAAUCUCAUUUGGUCUUCACUGAGCAAAGUCACUGCCAGGUUGGCUGUUAAAAUCUGUCCUUACAGUAAUGACUUUCUAGGGUUUUUGUCUCACGUCUGUUCCUUCCUCUGGAAGGGAUCAUGGGGUCCAUCUCACCCAAGAUCUCUCACAAAGUCUUGGAUGCCAAUGUUAUUUUUCACCUAAUGGCAGCUUGGAUGGCACAAAGUUCUUGGCUCUUCUUGAGCAUCUUAAAUAUUGUCUUCUUUUUCCUCCCAACCCAGACCAGCUGGAUCAUUUUCAUUCCCUUCUAUGUUACUCAUCCCUGUAUUCUAGAUCUCUGAAUAUUUUUCAUAUAAUUCCCAGAUUUUACUAGGCUAUAAAUGGCUUCACUCACUCAAAGUAUGACCCAGUUUUCUGUGAAGGAGGAGUUUGAGAGCAUAUUGUCAUUUCCGGAAACAGUCUGAAUUAUAAUUAUUAGCUUUAGAUCAUUGCAUUGGUUUUUCCUCUUCCAGCAAUCUCAUUCAUACACAUGCAGGUAUUCAACUUCUGGUAUUCCUCUCUCAUCUUCUGAAAUCUUUGGUCAAGCUCCUAUUCUGUAUAUUUCCUCUCUCACCUUCUGUUUCCUGAAAGGCACAGAUCUGUUUGUGUUUCUUCUGGUUUGCAUUUCAUGGGUGAUGUUAGUUUUUCCUGUUUUCCUCCUUCUUUCCUGAGUCUGCCCAUUCAUUUCUGAGCUUCCCUGAUUCUUAGUAUCAUGUCCUUCCAUGCUUGGUAUCAUUGUCUCAACCAUGUCUCCCUCAUCCUGAAAACUACCCCGCCGAGAACACAAAUUACACAAAGAUGGAAGUGUUUUCAUGUAUCAGAGAGUACUUUCUCUCUCUUUAUUACUGAUUCCUCCCUCUAGUACUUUUAUAUGGGGAUGGGCAUAUUGCCACCAAGAUUCUGGUUUUGUUCCUUUUAAUAGAAAAUUUGGUUUUGGGAAUUCUGCAUGAGCAAUAGGAUUCAGAAAGACUUGUCUUCACAUAGCUUCUCUCAGUUGCUUUUGUGCAAUGCUGGAAAACAUGACACCUGAUUUCUUGGCUCUGCAAUUUACCAUUAUUCCAUAUGAGAUUCCCCUCUGAAAACCCCUCUUUCAACUUAACCGGAUCAUUGCUACUCCAUAGGAAGGCCUGUUAUAUAAGGAAACAAUGGCCCCCAACUUUGCAAAUCUAGAUUUAUAAAAUCCCUUUCUAUGAAGAGUCAGUAUCAGAAUCUCUGAGAUUAUGCAGUUACUUUCUAUGAUGUCUACAAAAUUCUUUUCUCUGAGUGACUGGUUAGCCUGUCUUUAUCGGUCACCAUUUCAUUCAUAGGAUCAUUAAGUUUUAGUUUCUUUUGGUUUCUUUGAAUCACAAAAUUUAGGAGUUUUGGUUUUUUAUUUAUAUUUGUGGCAUUUGAGUUUAGAAUUAGUAAUUUUCACUUUACUUUUACAUCAGUCUUAUUUCAGAAAAAUUUGGUUUCAGUUACCAGAAUGGUUUUUAGUUAGUUAGUUUUAGUUAGUGAGUGCUAUGCAUUUUGAAUCCCUUAGACUAUCAAACAGGUACAUGCAAGAUCAGGUUCACCUAGGUCCACAACUCCAGCAGAAAUGAGUUUUGCCAAGUUCAAGCAUAAACAGCUGGCUUACCACAAUCCCUUGUGUUUGACACAGAAUGGACAAGGAUCAUCUUACUGAUUUGCCCUUGUCCUUAAAUGCACUACCUUGGAAAUAAACUCUCUAAGCAAAAGUACUCUUUGAAUUUUCUUUGCUGAUAUAUAAAAAUUAAUGUACAGGAAAAAAAACUGUUAUCCAUAUAAUGUCAUGAAUCCAAUUCCUGAGCAAUUAAAGAUUUACACACACACAUACACACACACUACAGGAUGGGUGGCUUGGAAAACAAAAUGAUGAUCUUAUACUCACAAACCAGGAGUUCAUGAAUGAACUCUGGCUCCCUGGAGCCUGGGGAUGUUCUACUGCUCACUGUCCAGGGACACCCAUUGGUGGAAUGGCUGAGCCAGGCCCACAGCUGCAUCUUUCUUUUUCAAGAUUUAUUUAUUUAUUUGAAAGGCAGAGUCAGAGAGAGAGAGAGAGAGAGAGAGAGAGAGAGAUCCUCCAUCUACUGGUGGUUCACUCUCCAAAUGGCCAUAACAGCUGGGAUUGGGUCAGGCCAAAGGCAGAAGCCAGGAGCUUCAUCUGGAUCUCCCACGUGGGUGCAGGGGCCCAGGCACUUGGGCCAUCUUCCACUGCUUUUCCAAGUGUAUUAGCAAGGUGCUGGGUAGGAGGUGAAGCAACCGGUCAUAAACUGGUGGCCAUAUGGGAUACCGGCAUUCCAGGUGACAGGAUAACCUGCUGUGCCACAACACUGACCCCCACAGCUGCAUCUUAGCCCUGCCCCCCAACACACAAACACAUACACAUGGCAUCGCUUGUUAGCAAAAGACAAGAUUAAUAUCAUACAAGCUCUUCAAGCCUCUGAUACCCUACAAGCAUGCACAGGUGAUCUCUCCCCAAACUGUCCAGGCAUCGGUUGGCAGGAUUCAUGGAUGGCAUGGUGUGCACCUGUGACUUCAGAAACAUAGGCAUGGCAUGCAGAGGAGGCACUGGGCUGGUCUCCUGAUGCACUUAUGCAUGAUGCAGAUAGUUCAGAGGCAGCAAGUCUAAAAGGGAUAACAGUGGAUGGAACAGGAGCUAUAGCUUCAGACACAGUGAGCAGGAGGCUAGAGAAGUAACUUCCUGGAAACACCUGGAAACCACUCCUGUUAAGCCUCUCAUGUGCUUGGAGGGGCAUUAUGGACCUGUGGCUGGUUUACUGGCUAUUCGAAUGGGACAUGUGGGAGACAACAAACCCCCACACCAGAGGCUGAGGAUAAAGCAUAAAAAAACAGGUAGAAGCACAAGAAUGGGUCUAAUAAAGGACCUUCUGC